GUUCCAUACUUUAACCCUUUAUAUUUUGUUACCUCGUCCAUAGUAUUGGACAGGACAUAUAUAUACAUAUGAGGUGAACACUUUGGAAAUAUAGAUCACAGUGAGAAGGAAUACUAUUUGAGAAUCAUUUGUUAUUUUCUUUUAUUAUUUUUCACCGAGUGUUGAAAGAGUCUCCGUCAACCUCUUCCGCGAUCGUGCUCGUAGGAGAAGGAGUUCCGGUCGUACCUUGGGGCGGUGUUUCCGGUUAAUCCCGCACGAAGGACGGGAAUACGCCUUAGGGCAGUGCUUCGCACGCUUCCGGAUCAAUUAAAUUUUUAUUUGGAUUUAGCGAUUAUCGGUAAGUUGAUUUUAUUAAUUUUAUCAUAAGAUUUAGUUAGAUUUAAAUCACAAUCAAUUUUCUGUGCGGUAUUUGUUCCAACAAUCUAAGGCGUAAUUCCGAUUUGAUUGUGAUUGAAAUCUGACGAGUGCUCAUCCGUAUUAAAUUAAUUUUAUAUGUAUAUAAUUUGUUAGUUAAUUUGUUUGUAUAAUUGGCAUUCAAACAUAAAUUUUUCGGAAUUAUCAUUUUAACCUAUAAUUGCAUAUUAUGUAAUUUCUUGUUUAAAUUACAUUUUAUUUGAUGAGUAUUUAAAAAAAAAAAAAAAAAAAAUUGCCUUUACUUGUAGCUCUUUUGAAAAUAAAAAGGUACGGACAUUAUGGAUUUCAAAACUAUAUGUAUAUUGUUUUCACUAUUUUUUUUUAUAUAAGUUAAAAAAAAAAAAAUAAUAAUCAGUGUAACCGUAUAUAUAUAUAUACUGUUCCGUUGUAAUAUCUGUUCUUAUUAGUUUAAUAUCUGAUAUAUGUGGGCUACUUGCCAACCUCGAUAUUAAAUUAAUUUUUUGUGGGAGAGUAUCUACCCAUGAUAGCUUGUUACUGGAAUUUUAUCAUGUCGUUGCGCUGCACUGCUGUUCGAGACUAGCACACUUAUGUAUGUAGUUUAAUUAUUAUUUUGCUUAAAAUAGAAAGAUAUCGAAUGUUAUUUUUGUUAGACAAAUUUGAUUGCAUGUUUGUCGUUCUAAUUUAAAUAAAUUAGAAUUAGUAUUUUCAAAUUCUAAUUGCAUAUAAUUUACUUGCUAAUUGCAUAUAACUUAAUUAUCAAUUAUUAUAUUCUCAUAUCUGUUAUAGGGUGUUUUAAGUUUGUUUAUAAAAAAAAAAAAAAAAAAUUUUAGUGUGCGAAUUUCUUGAUCAGGUAAAAUCCAUUUUACUUUGUUUUCCACAAUGACAUUGUACAGAUUAUUCAAAAAAAAAAAGAAAAAAAAAAAAAGAGCUACUGUAAAAUUAUUUUUUAUAUUGUACGGCUUAAAAGUUUUGCUACAGUAAAAAUUUUUUCUUUUUGGUAAAAAAAAAAAAAGGAAGAGAAAAUUUGCCACAGUAAAUUAAGGAGAGUUUGCUACACUAAAUUUAGUUUAUGUGUACGGAUGCGUUCGUACCAGCAUCACCUAACCUAUAAUACUAUCUCUUAGUUGUCACUACAUUUGUUACAUCUAAGUAUUUUUAUACAUUGGUUAUAGUAUAUCAUUUUAUUUUGCUUGUGCCAUCUAUUUGUUGUUGACCCAAAUUCUAUUAGACAUGAUUAAGGCCAUAUUUUUUAAAUUCUGAUAUAUUUCAAAACUUGUGGGGGGUACUCUUUUAUCAGUUUGAUAAAUUUUGAUAUUAUAAUUACUCUCGUAAUUUUAUCCUUGUGUUCAUCUUGGAAACGAAUUUUGCAAAUUCUAAGAUUGGCAGGUAAAUUAUUUUGAGACAUAAAUUUAUUAGAUGGCUAACCUUUUAUAAUAUUAUUUUUUAAGUUUUUUCAGAUCUGAUCAGAAUCUUGCAGAUUGCUUGACGAAAGGCCUGAAUAGGACUAAGGUCCUAGAGUCAUCGAGGGGGAUGGGACUUUGCCCGUAAAGGGCCUUCCUGCAGUGGGAACCCAACCUUUGUGAUAGGAGAUCCCUUGAAGAAGGUUCAAUGUGGUAAAAACAAGCUGUCAGGUUGGCCAAGAGCACUUUCUACAAAUUUUAUAAAGGAGCUUUAGCUCCAAUUCCAUCCCUAUGGUGAGUAGUGCUCUGUGUAGUGGAUUAGGUUGAGCUGAGAGCUCUUAAUGGGAUCCAAGGCGAUAAUUUUCGCGAGAUGUGACUCUACACACAUCCCUGGAGGAAACCACCUAUAUAAGAGUAUCCGUAUGUGGCCGCGGCUAUGUGAAUGGGCUAUACAUAGAAACUCUUAUGAAAAAUCAAGGUACUGUGCAUGGCCAUUAACGCACAGACCCGCGACGGAGAAUUCUGUACUAUGUGUGUGAUAGUUGAAGUCAGGGUCAAAGGAACGUAGUUCAAGACCUGGUUCACUCCGAUUCCUUCUGAUGGAAACUAUUUGCACUAAGUGAGGUUAAGUCUCUUAAAGACACCUUACUUAUUACAUAGUAUAAACACUCGGUGAUUAAUUGAUUUUCUUUAUUUGUUGUUUAAUUUUUAUUUUUAUUUUUAUUUUAUUUUAUCUUUAAAAUAAUUUUGAAUUUUGUGGGGGAUUGUUGGAGAAAAUUCAAAAUUUUAUUUAUUUAAUAUUUAUUUUUUUAUUAACUUUUAAUUAUCAAUUAGCGAAACGGCCGCAUCAACUACGGCCGCUUCGCGCGAGGGGGGGGAUCGUGCGCAGAUCCGUUCCACUAAUUAAGACCUUAAUUAGUGCUUUGGAACGUUGUGGGCUCCAACGUUCCAUACUUUAACCCUUUAUAUUUUGUUACCUCGUCCAUAGUAUUGGACAGGACAUAUAUAUACAUAUGAGGUGAACACUUUGGAAAUAUAGAUCACAGUGAGAAGGAAUACUAUUUGAGAAUCAUUUGUUAUUUUCUUUUAUUAUUUUUCACCGAGUGUUGAAAGAGUCUCCGUCAACCUCUUCCGCGAUCGUGCUCGUAGGAGAAGGAGUUCCGGUCGUACCUUGGGGCGGUGUUUCCGGUUAAUCCCGCACGAAGGACGGGAAUACG
rnacentral:lncRNA from 1 species